CCUACGGGGGGCAGCAGUGGGGAAUAUUGCACAAUGGGCGAAAGCCUGAUGCAGCAACGCCGCGUGAAGGAAGAAGGCCUUCGGGUCGUAAACUUCUGUCCUUGGGGAAGAAGAACUGACGGUACCCAAGGAGGAAGCCCCGGCUAACUACGUGCCAGCAGCCGCGGUAAUACGUAGGGGGCAGGCGUUAUCCGGAAUUAUUGGGUGUAAAGAGUACGUAGGUGGCAACCAAAGCGCAGGGUUUAAGGUAAGGGCUCAACCAUUGUUCGCCCUGCGAACUGGGAUGCUUGAGUGCAGGAGAGGAAAGCGGAAGUCCUAGUGUAGCGGUGAAAUGCGUAGAUAUUAGGAGGAACACCAGUGGCGAAGGCGGCUUUCUGGCACAUAACUGACGCUGAGGAGCGAAAGCGUGGGUAGCAAACAGGAUUAGAUACCCUAGUAGUC
rnacentral:rRNA from 1 species